rnacentral:rRNA from 1 species
GAGCUAAUACCGGAUAACAUUUCGAACCGCAUGGUUCGAAAUUGAAAGAUGGUUUCGGCUAUCACUUACAGAUGGACCCGCGGCGCAUUAGCUAGUUGGUGAGGUAACGGCUCACCAAGGCAACGAUGCGUAGCCGACCUGAGAGGGUGAUCGGCCACACUGGGACUGAGACACGGCCCAGACUCCUACGGGAGGCAGCAGUAGGGAAUCUUCCGCAAUGGACGAAAGUCUGACGGAGCAACGCCGCGUGAACGAUGAAGGCCUUCGGGUCGUAAAGUUCUGUUGUUAGGGAAGAACAAGUACCAGAGUAACUGCUGGUACCUUGACGGUACCUAACCAGAAAGCCACGGCUAACUACGUGCCAGCAGCCGCGGUAAUACGUAGGUGGCAAGCGUUGUCCGGAAUUAUUGGGCGUAAAGCGCGCGCAGGCGGUUUCUUAAGUCUGAUGUGAAAGCCCACGGCUCAACCGUGGAGGGUCCUUGGAAACUGGGGAACUUGAGUGCAGAAGAGGAGAGUGGAAUUCCACGUGUAGCGGUGAAAUGCGUAGAGAUGUGGAGGAACACCAGUGUCGAAGGCGACUCUCUGGUCUGUAACUGACGCUGAGGCGCGAAAGCGUGGGGAGCGAACAGGAUUAGAUACCNUGUAGUCCACGCCGUAAACGAUGAGUGCUAAGUGUUAGAGGGUUUCCGCCCUUUAGUGCUGCAGCAAACGCAUUAAGCACUCCGCCUGGGGAGUACGGUCGCAAGACUGAAACUCAAAGGAAUUGACGGGGGCCCGCACAAGCGGUGGAGCAAUGUGGUUAAUUCGAAGCAACGCGAAGAACCUUAC